AUACGGAGGGUGCAAGCGUUAUUCGGAAUCACUGGGCGUAAAGGACGCGUAGGCGGGUUGGCAAGUCAGAUGUGAAAUCCUACAGCUUAACUGUAGUACUGCAUUUGAAACUGCUAACCUAGAGUAUGGGAGGGGGAGAUGGAAUUAGUGGUGUAGGGGUAAAAUCCGUAGAUAUCACUAGGAAUACCGAAAGCGAAGGCGAUCUCCUGGAACAUAACUGACGCUAAGGCGUGAAAGCGUGGGGAGCAAACAGGAUUAGAUACCCCAGUAGUCC
rnacentral:rRNA from 1 species